UUCUCCAAAGAAAUUCUCAUCGUAUUAAAUAUUUAAUAUUCUUAAAUAUAUUCCAUAUAUUUCCGCAUAUUUCUUCUGAGUUUUUAGUACACAUGUUUUUCCUAACUUGACAUUCGUCUUUCUGUUUAUAAUUGCAUAAAAAAGUAUAUGCAAUAUCAUUAUUAAUGUGUUAUUCAUUUCAGACCAUCCGGAAAUUAUGCGCACAAUACCACAACUUCCAUUACUUCCAAUAUUGCAAAAAGCCAAUUUUUUCUUCCAAAUUAUGCGACAAGACAUAGAAAGGCUAUUAG